GUAAAUAUGGACUACUUAGUAGACAAGGGGCUGUUACCAAAAGAAUGCCAAGACACAGCUGAUAUAAUUAUCUUUUUCGACGAACUGUUUCAUUCAAUGAACGGAAGUUUUAUGAUUUUUUUCUCAAAGAAGUGGCAAACAGCUACUACAACCUUUAGCACCAUUUUCGUAGCACAACCAAAUCUGGAGAAAAGCUAAAC
rnacentral:misc_RNA from 1 species